AUCGCCUGAACACGCGCAGACCACGUCGCCAUCGCCGGAGCUCACCGAAGCUGGAGAAGACGCCAUGCCCACAGGCCGCCUCAGGGGUACAGGAACCCCCGCCAUAAAGGUUUUGAAGCCGCAUGAGCCACCCGACGCCGGGCGGGAUCUCAAGUCGAUGAACGCAUAUCGGCGGCGACACCAAGAGCCAACCACGGCAUCAGCAUACUCCGAGAGAACGACACUCUACGGACGGAACCGGAGAGGAAGAAGACGACCAGCAUCUCUUGAGAGGGAAUCAAACCUGCAGCUCAACCAAACACCUCCUACACUCCAGGACCCCACCUCCACGCCACCGAUGGAUACUUCGCCGGCGCAACAACAAAGAGGAGGGGGAGAUAGAUACUCACAUCGCCAGGACGGCGAAGCCGCCACACCGCCCUGCCUGAGAAUCCAAUAACUCGCGGGAUCUACAGAUCCGUGAGGACCAAAAUCACUUCUCCAUCCGACGGCGCCACCAUCGGAGGGGAAGGCCGAGACACCGCUCGAUCCGUAGAUCAGCAGGAGAUACACGCCGCUCAAUCCCCAACAAAUCAACAACAAGCAAAGAUUUAUUGGACGGAGAAGGAACGAGCGACCAAAAAUCCUUCGGCAACGGCGACCUCACCGUAAGCCGCCACCACCAGGAGCACGUCGGACAGGCAGCCGACCCCCGGCCGGCCAACCACCACCACCCACGAGCUCGACGACGCCACACCGGAGGAGAGCAUCGCCAUGGGGAAAGCUGUGGGACGAAACAUGUCGCCGCCGCCGCCACCCCCAUAGCACUGACGACGAUCAGGCAAAACAAGCUAUUUACACACCGGACGCGCGGAUCCGAGGUUUCCCCACCCUCCCGCCGCCGAAGCGGCCGGCGGAGGGGAGGGAAACCAGCGGCGGCGCCGGCGGAUCGACGGGAAAAAUCAGUCGCUUCCCUUUCACCUCGCACA
rnacentral:lncRNA from 1 species